GUCCACGCCGUAAACGAUGGAUACUAGCUGUUCGGAGCAAUCUGAGUGGCUAAGCGAAAGUGAUAAGUAUCCCACCUGGGGAGUACGAACGCAAGUUUGAAACUCAAAGGAAUUGACGGGGGCCCCGCACAAGCGGUGGAGCAUGUGGUUUAAUUCGAUGAUACGCGAGGAACCUUACCAAGGCUUAAAUGUAGAUUGACCGGUUUGGAAACAGAUCUUUCGCAAGACAAUUUACAAGGUGCUGCAUGGUUGUCGU
rnacentral:rRNA from 1 species